rnacentral:rRNA from 1 species
ACACGUACUGUGCAAACGUUGUUCGGAAUCACUGGGCUUAAAGGGUGCGUAGGCGGCUGAUCAAGUCGGGUGUGAAAUCCCCCGGCUCAACCGAGGAACUGCGCCCGAAACUGCUUGGCUCGAGGGAGAUAGGGGCGCGUGGAACUUCGGGUGGAGCGGUGAAAUGCGUUGAGAUCCGAAGGAACGCCGGUGGCGAAAGCGACGCGCUGGGUCUCUUCUGACGCUGAGGCACGAAAGCUAGGGGAGCGAACGGGAUUAGAAACCCCAGUAGUCC